rnacentral:misc_RNA from 1 species
AAGGAUCAUUACCGAGAGUCAUCUCUCCACCCUCGUGUGUACCGUCCUCUGUUUCUUCGGCGGGCCGGCCCGUUCCAGCCCGUCGGUCUCAACUCCGUCGUGGAACCUGCGGUCUGAGUUGGGCUUUCUAACGAACAAAACUUUCAACAACGGAUCUCUUGGCUCCG